AUACGUAGGGAGCGAGCGUUGUCCGGAAUUACUGGGUGUAAAGGGAGCGUAGGCGGGAGUGCAAGUCAGAUGUGAAAUACAUGGGCUCAACCCAUGGGCUGCAUUUGAAACUGCAUUUCUUGAGUGCAGUAGAGGUAAGCGGAAUUCCUGGUGUAGCGGUGAAAUGCGUAGAUAUCAGGAGGAACACCGGUGGCGAAGGCGGCUUACUGGGCUUUUACUGACGCUGAGGCUCGAAAGCGUGGGGAGCAAACAGGAUUAGAUACCCUGGUAGUCCACGCUGUAAACGAUGAUUACUAGGCGUGGGGGGACUGACCCCUUCCGUGCCGCAGUUAACACAAUAAGUAAUCCACCUGGGGAGUACGGCCGCAAGGUUGAAACUCAAAUGAAUUGACGGGG
rnacentral:rRNA from 1 species